rnacentral:lncRNA from 10 species
ACAAUGAUAUGCAUUGACCUCUACUGAGUUUUUGUGGUCAGGAACCUUCUCUGAGCUGUCAUAAUCGUGCUUCAUCAUCUCCAAGCAAGUGGUCAGAUGAAAGCAUGGUGAAGAUGACUAAAUAGAAGAGGCAGGUGGAUGAGAUCAGUUAACCAGCAUCGCCAGAUUUCUCAGCACUGAACUCACUUCAUGUUCAACAGUGGCCAGUCUUGUUAAAUAAUAUUAUGGGAAUAUCCCUAGAGUGUUCUUGCACAUUUCUUCAUGACCUUCAAGGCCAGCUCUUGAUGAAGAAAUAUUUAACAUCAGAGUAAGUGUUCUAGAGAUUAAUGGCUGCUGUUUGGCAAGGUCCAUAGACGUCCUUUCCUGCCAAUACAAAUAUAUACAUUGUUGAAGCACAAGACUAUAUCCACAGAUAGGAUUACAUGUUAACUGAAAAGAUUCAAGGAAGAGAAGAUGGGCCAUCAAUGAAAAAUGGUGGUUACAAUGAAGCAACUGAUUUCACAGCUAAGGCGAGAGCACUGCACUUCCUCCUCAUGCUUUCUGGUUGUUAAACUCCCACUAAGAAGCAUGAAAAAGAGCAAGAUGCACUUGAGGAGAUAAAGCAGACCUUUGAAGGGAAACCAAACAUCAGUUCAAGUUGUAACUUAGAGACCAGAAAAGAUAUUCCAAGUUUUUGUGAAGUUUAAAAUGUGCUCUUUUGUAUGGAAAAAAUAAAUCCUGUUGGCAAA